GACGAACGCUGGCGGUGUGCUUCACACAUGCAAGUCGAACGAGGUAGCAAUACCUAGUGGCGGACGGGUGAGUAACGCGUGGGAAUCUGCCUUUAGAUGGGGGAUAACGGGUCGAAAGACUCGCUAAUACCGCAUAUGACGAAAGUUGAAAGGAGUAAUCCGUCUAAAGAUGAGCCCGCGUCCGAUUAGCUAGUUGGUAGAGUAAAAGCCUACCAAGGCGACGAUCGGUAGCUGGUCUGAGAGGAGUGAUCAGCCACAAUGGGACUAGAGACACGGCCCAUACUCCUACGGGAGGCAGCAGUGGGGAAUUUUACGCAAUGGGCGAAAGCCUGACGUAGCGACACCGCGUGAGCGAAGAAGCCCUUGGGGUGUAAAGCUCUGUCAGCUGGAACGAAAAAAUGACGGUACCAGCAGAGGAAGCAAUCGGCUAACUACGUGCCAGCAGCCGCGGUAAU
rnacentral:rRNA from 1 species